GUUGGGUUAGAGGUCCUGUAAGGUGCCUUCCCCUGCUGGCUCCUCAAAGAGGCUGUAUGUGUAGUGCUUACCAUUUUGGCUUCUGGAGCAGCCCAGCUUGGGUUCCAAUCUCAACUCACCAUGACCUCACAAGCCCUCAGGCAAGUUAGGUCACUUCAGAGAAAUGUGGCAAGGAUUAAUGGAGGAGAUACAGUUCCUGGCACAGUGCCUGACACAUAUUUCUGCUAGAAUUUUGGUCCGCGAGAAAGCACUGGCAUGGGCCGACACAAGGAGUCAGUGCUUAAAGCUGCACUCCUCUCGAACUUCUUGUUGGGGGAAACAAAGAAUAGUCCUUUGGCCUCCACUCACCUGGAACAGAUCAAAUGACAUCACAAUUCCAUCCCUCCAUCGCAAUGCAGCAGGUUAUCCUGAAAAUAAAAGACAUCCAAACUCA